CAGUGGGAGCCUCUUAAUGGGGUGACUGCGUACCUUUUGUAUAAUGGGUCAGCGACUUAUAUUCUGUAGCAAGGUUAACCGAAUAGGGGAGCCGAAGGGAAACCGAGUCUUAACUGGGCGUUAAGUUGCAGGGUAUAGACCCGAAACCCGGUGAUCUAGCCAUGGGCAGGUUGAAGGUUGGGUAACACUAACUGGAGGACCGAACCGACUAAUGUUGAAAAAUUAGCGGAUGACUUGUGGCUGGGGGUGAAAGGCCAAUCAAACCGGGAGAUAGCUGGUUCUCCCCGAAAGCUAUUUAGGUAGCGCCUCGUGAAUUCAUCUCCGGGGGUAGAGCACUGUUUCGGCAAGGGGGUCAUCCCGACUUACCAACCCGAUGCAAACUGCGAAUACCGGAGAAUGUUAUCACGGGAGACACACGGCGGGUGCUAACGUCCGUCGUGAAGAGGGAAACAACCCAGACCGCCAGCUAAGGUCCCAAAGUCAUGGUUAAGUGGGAAACGAUGUGGGAAGGCCCAGACAGCCAGGAUGUUGGCUUAGAAGCAGCCAUCAUUUAAAGAAAGCGUAAUAGCUCACUGGUCGAGUCGGCCUGCGCGGAAGAUGUAACGGGGCUAAACCAUGCACCGAAGCUGCGGCAGCGACGCUGAUGCGUUGUUGGGUAGGGGAGCGUUCUGUAAGCCUGUGAAGGUGGCCUGUGAGGGUUGCUGGAGGUAUCAGAAGUGCGAAUGCUGACAUAAGUAACGAUAAAGCGGGUGAAAAGCCCGCUCGCCGGAAGACCAAGGGUUCCUGUCCAACGUUAAUCGGGGCAGGGUGAGUCGACCCCUAAGGCGAGGCCGAAAGGCGUAGUCGAUGGGAAACAGGUUAAUAUUCCUGUACUUGGUGUUACUGCGAAGGGGGGACGGAGAAGGCUAUGUUGGCCGGGCGACGGUUGUCCCGGUUUAAGCGUGUAGGCUGGUUUUCCAGGCAAAUCCGGAAAAUCAAGGCUGAGGCGUGAUGACGAGGCACUACGGUGCUGAAGCGACAAAUGCCCUGCUUCCAGGAAAAGCCUCUAAGCAUCAGGUAACAUUAAAUCGUACCCCAAACCGACACAGGUGGUCAGGUAGAGAAUACCAAGGCGCUUGAGAGAACUCGGGUGAAGGAACUAGGCAAAAUGGUGCCGUAACUUCGGGAGAAGGCACGCUGAUAUGUAGGUGAAGCGACUUGCUCGUGGAGCUGAAAUCAGUCGAAGAUACCAGCUGGCUGCAACUGUUUAUUAAAAACACAGCACUGUGCAAACACGAAAGUGGACGUAUACGGUGUGACGCCUGCCCGGUGCCGGAAGGUUAAUUGAUGGGGUUAGCGGUAACGCGAAGCUCUUGAUCGAAGCCCCGGUAAACGGCGGCCGUAACUAUAACGGUCCUAAGGUAGCGAAAUUCCUUGUCGGGUAAGUUCCGACCUGCACGAAUGGCGUAAUGAUGGCCAGGCUGUCUCCACCCGAGACUCAGUGAAAUUGAACUCGCUGUGAAGAUGCAGUGUACCCGCGGCAAGACGGAAAGACCCCGUGAACCUUUACUAUAGCUUGACACUGAACAUUGAGCCUUGAUGUGUAGGAUAGGUGGGAGGCUUUGAAGUGUGGACGCCAGUCUGCAUGGAGCCGACCUUGAAAUACCACCCUUUAAUGUUUGAUGUUCUAACGUGGGCCCCUUACCGGGGUUGCGGACAGUGUCUGGUGGGUAGUUUGACUGGGGCGGUCUCCUCCUAAAGAGUAACGGAGGAGCACGAAGGUUGGCUAAUCCUGGUCGGACAUCAGGAGGUUAGUGCAAUGGCAUAAGCCAGCUUGACUGCGAGCGUGACGGCGCGAGCAGGUGCGAAAGCAGGUCAUAGUGAUCCGGUGGUUCUGAAUGGAAGGGCCAUCGCUCAACGGAUAAAAGGUACUCCGGGGAUAACAGGCUGAUACCGCCCAAGAGUUCAUAUCGACGGCGGUGUUUGGCACCUCGAUGUCGGCUCAUCACAUCCUGGGGCUGAAGUAGGUCCCAAGGGUAUGGCUGUUCGCCAUUUAAAGUGGUACGCGAGCUGGGUUUAGAACGUCGUGAGACAGUUCGGUCCCUAUCUGCCGUGGGCGCUGGAGAACUGAGGGGGGCUGCUCCUAGUACGAGAGGACCGGAGUGGACGCAUCACUGGUGUUCGGGUUGUCAUGCCAAUGGCACUGCCCGGUAGCUAAAUGCGGAAGAGAUAAGUGCUGAAAGCAUCUAAGCACGAAACUUGCCCCGAGAUGAGUUCUCCCUGAGACUUAGAGUCUCCUGAAGGAACGUUGAAGACGACGACGUUGAUAGGCCGGGUGUGUAAGCGCAGCGAUGCGUUGAGCUAACCGGUACUAAUGAACCGUGAGGCUUAACCUU
rnacentral:rRNA from 1 species